rnacentral:rRNA from 1 species
UACGUAGGUGGCAAGCGUUGUCCGGAUUGACUGGGCGUAAAGCGCACGCAGGCGGCCGUGCACGUGGGGUGUGAAAGCGCUCGGCUUAACUGAGCGAUGCCACCUCAUACGGCAGGGCUCGAGCCCGUGAGAGGUCCACGGAAUUGCCUGUGUAGUGGUGAAAUGCGUAGAGAUCGGCAGGAACACCCAGGGGGAAACCAGUGGACUGGCACGGUGCUGACGCUCAGGUGCGAAAGCGUGGGGAGCGAACCGG